GGGGUUGUGGCUCAGUGGUAGAGCGCUCGCCUAGCAAGUGUGAGGCCCUGGGUUCAAUCCUCAGCACCACA
rnacentral:tRNA from 1 species